UACGUAGGGCGCAAGCGUUGUCCGGAAUUAUUGGGCGUAAAGAGCUCGUAGGCGGUUUGUCGCGUCUGCUGUGAAAUCCCGAGGCUCAACCUCGGGCUUGCAGUGGGUACGGGCAGACUAGAGUGCGGCAGAGGAGACUGGAAUUCCUGGUGUAGCAGUGAAAUGCGUAGAUAUCAGGAGGAACACCGAUGGCGAAGGCAGGUCUCUGGGCUGACACUGACGCUCAUGCACGAAAGCGUGGGGAGCAAACAGG
rnacentral:rRNA from 1 species